rnacentral:rRNA from 1 species
GAUGAACGCUAGCUACAGGCUUAACACAUGCAAGUCGAGGGACCGGCGCACGGGUGAGUAACACGUAUCCAACCUGCCCUUUACUCGGGGAUAGCCUUUCGAAAGAAAGAUUAAUACCCGAUAUAAAGGAUGGGGAUGCGGUCCAUUAGGUUGGUGGUGUGGUAACGGCCCACCAAGCCUUCGAUGGAUAGGGGUUCUGUGAGGAAGGUCCCCCACAGUGGAACUGAGACACGGUCCAAACUCCUAGGUGAGGCAGCAGUGAGGAAUAUUGGUCAAUGUGCGGUAGCCUGAACCAGCCAAGUAGCGUGAAGGAUGAAGGCUUAUGGGUCGUAAACUUCUUUUAUAUAAGAAUAUGUAUUAUAUGAAUAAGGAUCGGCUAACUCCGUGCCAGCAGCCGCGGUAAUUC